UACGUAGGUGGCGAGCGUUGUCCGGAUUUACUGGGCGUAAAGAGCGCGCAGGCGGUCGUGCAAGUCGCGUGUGAAAGCCCCCGGCUCAACUGGGGAGGGUCACGCGAUACUGCUCGACUCGAAGGCAGGAGAGGGAAGUGGAAUUCCCGGUGUAGUGGUGAAAUGCGUAGAGAUCGGGAGGAACACCAGUGGCGAAGGCGGCCUUCUGGACCAAUACUGACGCUCAUGCACGAAAGCGUGGGGAGCAAACAGG
rnacentral:rRNA from 1 species